AUGACUAAAAAACCAGGAGGGCCCGGAAAAAACCGGGCCAUCAAUAUG
rfam:Japanese encephalitis virus JEV/sw/Thailand/185/2017 RNA, complete genome